AAUAAACCAAUUUUUUACUUUUUUAUCUUCAAUUUUUGACUCUUCGUCUUAUUCAAAAUUUUUUGCGAUUGGUAUUUUUGUUUUUAUUAGAUGAUAAAUGAUGAAUAGUAUUUUACGUAUGACUAAUUUUUUUUAAUUUUUUAAAAGUUUUUUAAAUAAGAUAGAUGGUUAAAUGUUGGAUACGGAAACCGAAAAAUUCGUUUUCU
rnacentral:pre_miRNA from 1 species